UACGAAGGGGGCUAGCGUUGUUCGGAAUUACUGGGCGUAAAGCGCACGUAGGCGGAUACUUAAGUCAGGGGUGAAAUCCCGGGGCUCAACCCCCGGAACUGCCUUUGAUACUGGGUAUCUCGAGUCCGGAAGAGGUGAGUGGAAUUCCGAGUGUAGAGGUGAAAUUCGUAGAUAUUCGGAGGAACACCAGUGGCGAAGGCGGCUCACUGGUCCGGUACUGACGCUGAGGUGCGAAAGCGUGGGGAGCAAACAGGG
rnacentral:rRNA from 1 species